rnacentral:rRNA from 1 species
UACGUAGGGGGCAAGCGUUGUCCGGAAUCACUGGGCGUAAAGCGUGCGUAGGCGGUUUUUCAAGUCUGGGGUGAAAGUCCAUGGCUCAACCAUGGGAAUGCCUUGGAAACUGGGAGACUUGAGUACUGGAGAGGCAAGGGGAAUUCCACGUGUAGCGGUGAAAUGCGUAGAUAUGUGGAGGAAUACCAGUGGCGAAGGCGCCUUGCUGGACAGUUACUGACGCUGAGGCACGAAAGCGUGGGGAGCAAAC